UACAUGGGGUGCAAACGUUGCUCGGAAUUAUUGGGCGUAAAGCGCGCGUAGGCGGUUACUCAAGUCGGAUGUGAAAGCCCUCGGCUUAACUGAGGAAGUGCACCCGAAACUGAGUAGCUAGAGUACCAAAGAGGGUCGCGGAAUUCCCGGUGUAGAGGUGAAAUUCGUAGAUAUCGGGAGGAACACCGGUGGCGAAGGCGGCGACCUGGGUGGAUACUGACGCUGAGGCGCGAAGCCAGGGGAGCAAACGGG
rnacentral:rRNA from 1 species